GAUAAUAUUCAUUCCACGAUGAAAUACAAAUUUGAUACCAAACUGGCGGAUAACAUGAAAUCCCCAGAACAAAAGCCCAAAAGACAGGCAACUAGAACCCACAACGGGGUAACUUACGAACACAACGUAAACUUAAAAAAACUUAGAAUCAGAAAACCCCAACUAAAACACAACAAACUAAACCAUCUACACAAACCAAAGGAUAAUUCAGUGCAAUAAACCUCCUAAAUAGCAGAAAGCAGUGAACUGGAUAUAUCGAUGCUGUCCUCGACACGCCAAAGAAUACCAUCCACUUAUAGAACCCAAGACACCACGUCUUCUCAAUCCGGAUCUAUCGCUGCCACCUAUGGCCUGCCAAACGAUACCAUCCUUAACUCAAACCCAAGAACCUAGACUUCACAACCCGACAAGAGGGAUCGCUUCACAAUCUUGACCACCUUUCGGAUACGGCUUGAACGCACUCUCUAACGUCCACUUUACACCUUGAUAGAAGUCCACCAUAAACCUUCACACAAUCAAGCCUCGUCGAAACUCAAUACUGAUACAAACCUUAACAACCAAACCGACGAGAGCUCACUGCAACCACCAGAACAAGAGGAUAAAACUGCAACUGAAACUCCAUCGAAUACCAAACCAAGGAUACAUAGCGCUUGAGAACCACUCCACACAAAAACCAUACUUAACCUCUGAAACCACUAGAAGCUAGCCAAGACUGACAGCAAUAACAACUAGAAGAAACCCAGAGCCAUAGCAAGUCUUCUUGAAAGAACUACCGACCCACCGUGGAAACUCAAUUAAAGAGACUCAAGAUCUAUCCAGAGCUAAAACAACUAACCUAACAAGAACAGAUCUGAAACCUGAAAAUAGAUCUGCGCCCAAAAACUCUAAACGCCGACUCCCACCGAACGAGACUACUUCACCCCGCCGUGCCAUGUCUCCAGAACCAGCUGACGCUCCACCGUACUUCACCCUCGCGAGACCAGACGAAUGACGCUAGACCAGAACCAACAGCAAAACAGCAGGGACGCAGCAGCUCGGG
rnacentral:lncRNA from 1 species